rnacentral:rRNA from 1 species
CGGAAGGAUCAUUAAUGAAUACAGAUGCCUGUCGAGCUUGCUCACGGGUUUUCUAUCAUAUCCAUAACACCUGUGCACUUGUUGGAUGUUCUAAAGACGUAGGCUUAAAGCUGAAGUCAAUAGUCAUCCACUUACACUAAACAAUAAUGUAACAAAUGUAGUCUUAUUAUAACAUAAUAAAACUUUCAACAACGGAUCUCUUGGCUCUCGCAUCGAUGAAGAACGCAGCGAAAUGCGAUAAGUAAUGUGAAUUGCAGAAUUCAGUGAAUCAUCGAAUCUUUGAACGCACCUUGCGCUCCUUGGUAUUCCGAGGAGCAUGCCUGUUUGAGUGUCAUGAAAACCCUCAACCUUAGAUUGGUUAUUUGACCUUUCUUUGGCUUGGAUUUGGACGUUUGCCGAUGUCAAGUCGGCUCGUCUUAAAAGUAAUAGCUGGAUCUGUCUCGCGACAUGGUUUGACUUGGCGUAAUAAGUAUUUCGCUAAGGACAUCUUCGGAUGGCCCUGUUGCAGGACUAAAGACCGCUUUCUAAUCCAUUGAUCUUCGGAUUAAUAUUCAUAACAUCUGGCCUCAAAUCAGGUAGGACUACCCGCUGAACUUAAGCAUAUCAAAANGGGGGAAGAAAAAGGAACCUUUAAUGAAUCAGAAUGCCUGUCGAGCUUGCUCACGGGUUUUCUAUCAAUCCCUAACACCUGUGCACUUGUUGGAUGUUCUAAAGACGUA